rnacentral:rRNA from 1 species
CCUACGAGGGGCUGCAGUAGGGAAUAUUGCUCAAUGGGGGAAACCCUGAAGCAGCAACGCCGCGUGGAGGAUGCAGGUUUUAGGAUUGUACACUCCUUUUGUGAGAGAAGAUAAUGACGUUAUCUCACGAAUAAGCACCGGCUAACUCCGUGCCAGCAGCCGAGGUAAGACGGAGGGUGCAAGCAUUACUCGGAUUCACUGGGCGUAAAGAGUGCGCAGGCGGGCUUGUAAGUCAGAUGUGAAAUCCUUUAGCUUAACUGCAGAACUGCAUUUGAAACUAUGAGUCUAGAGUGUGGGAGAGGUAGGUGGAAUUCUUGGUGUAGGGGUAAAAUCCGUAGAUAUCUAGAGGAAUACUCGUGGCGAAGGCGACCUACUGGAACAUUACUGACGCUCAUGCACGAAAGCGUGGGGAGCAAACAGGAUUAGAUACCCUAGUAGUC